rnacentral:rRNA from 1 species
CCCUUAGAUGUUCGGGGCUGCACGCGCGCUACACUGAAGGAAUCAGCGUGGCUUUCUCCCUGACCCGAAAGGGUUGGGAAACCCGUUGAAUCUCCUUCGUGAUAGGGAUUGGGGCUUGAAAUUGUUCCCCAUGAACGAGGAAUUCCCAGUAAGCGCGAGUCAUAAGCUCGCGUUGAUUACGUCCCUGCCCUUUGUACACACCGCCCGUCGCUACUACCGAUUGAACGGUUUAGUGAGGGCCUCGGAUUGGUCUCGGCCCGCUCUUUACCGGGCGGCGCCGUUGGUCGAGAAGACGCUCGAACUUGAUCGUUUAGAGGAAGUAAAAGUCGUAACA